rnacentral:rRNA from 1 species
UUGAACGCUGGCGGCAUGCCUUACACCUGCAAGUCGAACGGUAACAGGUUAAGCUGACGAGUGGCGAACGGGUGAGUAAUGUAUCGGAACGUGCCCAGUCGUGGGGGAUAACUGCUCGAAAGAGCAGCUAAUACCGCAUACGACCUGAGGGUGAAAGCGGGGGAUCGCAAGACCUCGCGCGAUUGGAGCGGCCGAUAUCAGAUUAGGUAGUUGGUGAGGUAAAGGCUCACCAAGCCGACGAUCUGUAGCUGGUCUGAGAGGACGACCAGCCACACUGGGACUGAGACACGGCCCAGACUCCUACGGGAGGCAGCAGUGGGGAAUUUUGGACAAUGGGCGCAAGCCUGAUCCAGCCAUGCCGCGUGCGGGAAGAAGGCCUUCGGGUUGUAAACCGCUUUUGUCAGGGAAGAAAAGGUUCUGGCUAAUACCUGGGACUCAUGACGGUACCUGAAGAAUAAGCACCGGCUAACUACGUG